rnacentral:tmRNA from 1 species
AUGCUCUCGCUGCUUAAUCGAAGAAUAGUAGAUUAAAGCUUUAUCCUUACACCAGGUGUUUGGACGAGACAUCACCCGGAAGCUGUGGCUUCGAAGCGUUCCGACAAGGUGGUGCAGAAGUAUCGGAGAUAGUCUGACGGAUGUCCCGGACGGCAGAUGAAGAUUAAGGGACUAAGGUUGUGGUUGGUGGCUUCGUUCUUGCCGCAGCACAAAAAUCGAGGCGAAGAUAAGCAUGUAGAAAGCAAAUUAGUUCCUCGUUUGGACGAGAGUUCGAAUCUCUCCAGCUCCACAA